rnacentral:rRNA from 1 species
UACACUCCUACGGGAGGCAGCAGUGGGGAAUAUUGGACAAUGGGCGCAAGCCUGAUCCAGCCAUGCCGCGUGAGUGAUGAAGGCCCUAGGGUUGUAAAGCUCUUUCACCGGUGAAGAUAAUGACGGUAACCGGAGAAGAAGCCCCGGCUAACUUCGUGCCAGCAGCCGCGGUAAUACGAAGGGGGCUAGCGUUGUUCGGAUUUACUGGGCGUAAAGCGCACGUAGGCGGACUAUUAAGUCAGGGGUGAAAUCCCGGGGCUCAACCCCGGAACUGCCUUUGAUACUGGUAGUCUUGAGUUCGAGAGAGGUGAGUGGAAUUCCGAGUGUAGAGGUGAAAUUCGUAGAUAUUCGGAGGAACACCAGUGGCGAAGGCGGCUCACUGGCUCGAUACUGACGCUGAGGUGCGAAAGCGUGGGGAGCAAACAGGAUUAGAUACCCGUGUAGUCCCA